GGUUUUCCUUCUAGUCAUUUUGCUCAGUGCAGAGUGGCCAAAAGCAAGUUGUAUUGGGAAAAAGAGAAAAAGAGAGGAGAGAAAGAAGGAAAGAAAAGAGAAAGAGAAAAAAAAGGGGAAGAGAAAAAAAAACGAAAGAAGAAAGAAAAAAAAAAAGAAGAAAAAGAGAAAGAAAAAGAAAGGAGAAAAAAAAGGGGGGGUGGGGGAAGGAAACAAAUCAAAAAGCAAAACAAAACAAAAAAACAAACAAACAAACAAAAAACAAAAAAACAAAACAAAACAAAAAAAAGAACCACCGGGAAGUAUCUUCUGAUUCUGUGUUCUUUAAGUCCCUUGGCUUCUCCUGGAAGUUGUCCGUCUAGCUGGUCUUCUGGGGGAGGGGCCUGUUGUGCUGAUUUUCAGGUGUUAGCAGUUGGGGGAGCUGCUGUGCCCCUGCCUGGUGCAGGGCUCAGUGGGGGUUGUUUACCCCGUGAGGCCGCAGGAGGAACAGCCCCAGUGGCGGGGCAGCUCUGGAAACCUGGAUUCAGCUCCGGCAGGAACUCCGUCUGCAGGGCCUGGAGGCUCCGGGGCGGGGCCGCUGAUGUGCUCAGCUCGGGGCAGGAGCGUCCUUGCGGUCCUGGGCCCUCCCGGCUUCUGCCUGUCCUGGGGGGAGGCCGGAUCCUGGGCUGUGUCCUGGCGCCCUGUGCUCCGGGGCCUGCGCUGGUGGAUUCGCGCUCCCGGGCCGUGCAGCCCCCUCCGCGGAGCCGCCGCCCGAGCCCCCCGAGCUGCUCCGGGUCCCGCCGGGUCCCCCCGUGCGCGCUGCAGCCCUUAGGGAGCUCGGCGCACUCUCCUGGGCGCGCAGUUGCUCUGUUACUGUCUCAGGGAACCCGAGGGCAUCCCCGCCCUCCUGAGUCCUGCUCCAACUCCCCACGAGCCCCUUUCCCCCGGGAAGGUCGGUGCAGCUCCUGCUCCUCCGGGACGGGGCUCUCCUGUCCUGGGGACACUCGCCCCGGCCUCAGCCCGGCUCCUCGCGGGCCCCUCCCCCUUGGAGGCCUUUGUUUCUUUACUUCUUUUUCCCCGUCUUCCUACCUUGAUAGAAGCGCGAACUCUUCUCACUGUUGCAUUCCAGCUGGUCUCUCUUUAAAUCUCAGGCCGAAUUCAUAG
rnacentral:lncRNA from 12 species